UUUAACUCUUAUAAUAAGUCCAAUGCAUUGGAUUGUGACACAUUUUGACAAUAAAAAUACUAACAAAACUGUUUACUGCUUCUAAGCAAAUUUUUGUUGGUUUUAGUCUCUUUUGGGAGAAAAUGGGUAUAAGUAUUGUCUAAACACUUCUAAUCUAUCUCUAACUCUUAUAAUUAGUCAAAUGCAUUGGAUUGUGACACAGUUUGACCAUAGAUAUAACUAACAAAUAUAUUGAGUGCUUCUAAACAAAUUUUUGUUGGUUUUAGCCUCUUUUGGGAGAAAAUGGGUAUAAGUAUUGUCUAAACACUCCUAAUUCAUCUCUAACUCUUAUAAUUAGUCAAACACUUUGGAUUCUGACACAUUUUGACCAUAGAAACACUAACAAACCUAUUUACUGCUUCUAAGCAAUUUUUUCCUUGUUUUAGCCUCUUUUGGGAGAAAAUGGGUAUAAGUGUUGUCUAAACACUCCUAAUCCAUCUUUAACUCUUAUAA
rnacentral:sRNA from 1 species